CUGUUUGCAUGUUAGGCAAACACAGCCACAUGGAUGGGAGGCAAGUGCCAGGGAGCUGAACGAUGUUGGACUCUGAUGGAAACCAAUUGUUUAUUUUCACUUGAUGGCUCUCCAGCGACUUUGGAAAGUAUACAGAUCCUGGCAAAUGAAAAUGCUUUGUUUCCAAUUCCUUCCUUUUGGAUUCUUCAUCUCAAAUGAAAUGUCCCUGGCAUCCUCCAGCAAACCAUACAGGACAGAGAACAACUCUCUUUGGAUAAUCACGUCCUCAUAGGCAGCUAGGGGAUUCAGUUGGCUUUGGGAAAAGUAUAAGCUGGAGCCACAGGGAACCUAGGAUGUGUCUACAACAGGUCUUCUUCCAUAGAUAUCCCAGAUGGAUCAUUGCUAUUUCCUUGAUGCUGGAAGUACAAGGAGGGUGUUUCAGAAACUGGAGAAGAGAGGGAAGUUAGGGAAGCAAAGGAACGGCCAAUAUGCCUUUGGGCCUUGGGCAGAUGGCACUAUGGACUGGGAAUGCUUACAGGAUCAUCAAUUUGGAACCAGAAGGGACCGUUUGGAUGCUCACAAGAUGCCAGCACAGCAAUACUUUUACCACUAACAGGCUUGAGAAUAAGAAAGCUUUGAAAAUGAGAGAGUUGGUGCACAUCAUGGCAAGGUCUUUGAGAAAGGUAUGUUUAACUACUGAGUUUCCUUUCUCAUUGAAAGGGAAGUGUGAGUCUCCUUAUGGGCAUUUUGGCCUUGUCUGGGUGGUAAGUGUUCUGUCUUACAUCAGGUUGCAUGUCAAAGAGUGAUGAAUUUGCAUGGGGUGCUAUGUUCUGUUACCUUAGCAACUCUAUCUGCCUGAAUGUGUUUCAAGCAACAGUAGGAGUUAACAUGGGUCAGGAGAGAGAAUGCUGAGCCCAAGGUCAUGAGAUGUGAGCUCUUUCCUUGUAGCUAAUAUCUCAUUCCAGCUAUACAAAAUAUUACCUUCCUGAGCAUCAGUCUCUUCAUCUAUAAAACAGGAGUAGGACUUGUGCUUUCUUCUUGCAGAAUUGUUUUGAGGCCCAAAUGAAUGCUUUGAAACUUUUAAAGUGUAAAUAAAAGGAAACCAUUGCAUUUAAGAGUGAACA
rnacentral:lncRNA from 1 species